CGCAAGCCUGACGGAGCAAGACCGCGUGCGGGAUGACGGCCUAAUGGUUGUAAACCGCUUUUCUCUGGGAAGAUGAUGACGGUACCAGAGGAAUCAGCCUCGGCUAACUCCGUGCCAGCAGCCGCGGUAAUACGGAGGAGGCAAGCGUUAUCCGGAAUUAUUGGGCGUAAAGCGUCCGUAGGUGGUUAUUCAAGUCUGCUGUCAAAGCGUGGGGCUUAACUCCAUAGAGGCAGUGGAAACUGGAUGACUUGAGUGCGGUAGGGGUCGAGGGAAUUCCCAGUGUAGCGGUGAAAUGCGUAGACAUUGGGAAGAACACCAGUGGCGAAAGCGCUCGACUGGGCCUGCACUGACACUGAGGGACGAAAGCUAGGGGAGCG
rnacentral:rRNA from 1 species